AACGAACGCUGGCGGCAUGCCAAACACAUGCAAGUCGAACGAGACCUUCGGGUCUGGUGGCGCACGGGUGCGUAACGCGUGGGAACCUGCCCUUAGGUUCGGAAUAACUCCCCGAAAGGGGUGCUAAUACCGGAUAAUGUCUUCGGACCAAAGAUUUAUCGCCUUUGGAUGGGCCCGCGUUGGAUUAGCUAGUUGGUAGGGUAAAAGCCUACCAAGGCGACGAUCCAUAGCUGGUCUGAGAGGAUGAUCAGCCACACUGGGACUGAGACACGGCCCAGACUCCUACGGGAGGCAGGAGUGGGGAAUAUUGGACAAUGGGCGAAAGGCUGAUCCAGCAAUGCCGCGUGAGUGAUGAAGGCCUUAGGGUUGUAAAGCUCUUUUACCCGGGAUGAUAAUGACGGUACCGGGAGAAUAAGCUCCGGCUAACUCCGUG
rnacentral:rRNA from 1 species